UGUAAGAGCUGCCGAAGGCUGCGAUCUUUUGAUUCUGAGAAAGCAAGUGUCAAAAGAUCGCAGCCUUCGGCAGCUCCUACA
rnacentral:antisense_RNA from 1 species